rnacentral:rRNA from 1 species
UACGUUCCCGGGCCUUGUACACACCGCCCGUCACACCACGAAAGUGGGUAACACCCGAAGCCGGUGGCCCAACCCUUGUCGGAGGGAGCCGUCGAAGGUGGGAUCCGCGAUUGGGGUG